rnacentral:rRNA from 1 species
GAUGAACGCUAGCGGGAGGCCUAAUACAUGCAAGUCGAGCGCUGUAGCAAUACGGAGCGGCAGACGGGUGCGUAACGCGGUAUGAAACUUGCCCUAUACAGGAGAAUAGCCUUGGGAAACUGAGAGUAAUACUCCAUAAUAUUAUUGAAUGGCAUCAUUUAAUAAUUAAAGCUCCGGCGGUAUAGGAUAGUCGUGCGUCCGAUUAGCUAGUUGGUAGGGUAAAGGCCUACCAAGGCGACGAUCGGUAGCUGGUCUGAGAGGAUGAUCAGCCACACGGGCACUGAGACACGGGCCCGACUCCUACGGGAGGCAGCAGUAAGGAAUAUUGGACAAUGGAGGCAACUCUGAUCCAGCCAUCCCGCGUGGAGGAAUAAUGCCCUAUGGGUUGUAAACUCCUUUAGCUAGGGAAUAAAUCAGUGGAUUCAUCCGCUGUUGAAGGUACCUAGAGA